rnacentral:rRNA from 1 species
UUAACCUACCCUUGACAUGUCUGGAAUGCCGAAGAGAUUUGGCAGUGCUCGACAAGAGAACCGGAACACAGGUGCUGCAUGGCUGUCGUCAGCUCGUGUCGUGAGAUGUUGGGUUAAGUCCCGCAACGAGCGCAACCCUUGUCAUUAGUUGCUACGAAAGGGCACUCUAAUGAGACUGCCGGUGACAAACCGGAGGAAGGUGGGGAUGACGUCAAGUCCUCAUGGCCCUUAUGGGUAGGGCUUCACACGUCAUACAAUGGUCGGGACAGAGGGCUGCCAACCCGCAAGGGGGAGCCAAUCCCAGAAACCCGAUCGUAGUCCGGAUCGCAGUCUGCAACUCGACUGCGUGAAGUCGGAAUCGCUAGUAAUCGCGGAUCAGCAUGUCGCGGUGAAUACGUUCCCGGGUCUUGUACACACCGCCCGUCACACCAUGGGAGUGGGUUUUACCAGAAGUAGUUAGCCUAACCGCAAGGGGGGCGAUUACCACGGUAGGAUUCAUGACUGGGGUGAAGUCGUAACAAGGUAAGCGUAGAUGA